rnacentral:lncRNA from 1 species
CCGGAGGCUGCUGCUCCGCCGCAGAGCCGCCCUCGGGCCUGGGCCCAGCGCGGGCUCCAGUGCCCAGCCUGCGAGGCAGCUGCGGGACCUCUGGGUCGCACUGGGCUCCCGCCCGGCGGAAACACUGUUCCGCUGUUUGUUUUCUGGCUUCCAACCAGGGGGAGAACUGGCUUCCGGGCUGGGCCUUGGACGGUCCGGCCGGCCCUCCUCCCAGAGCCCCGCGGCCCGUCUCCACCCACCUCCCCGCGGCCCGGCCCCACACCUGCCUAGGUCGGUCGUGCCGACGAGCCGAGCCCAGGACAGCUGUCCUCCCGGCAGCAGCAGAAGGUGACUCACAGCUAAUUCCGCCGGCAGCAGGAACCGGCUCAGCCAGCCUGGACUCCGGGCCAAUUCCUCUGGCGAUAGCAUCAAAGCCCAAAGGGAAACAAAAACAAAUCCGGGCCUGAGCAAAGCAGGGCUCUGAUUAUCUUUCCCUCCCGGCCAGGCGGUGCCAGGAGGGCGCGGGCUGCACCCAGGUUUCCUCACCGUUCUUUCCCAGCAUCCUUAGCAUACAGUAGGUGCUCAGCAAACGGCUGCAGGAUGCAGGAUCGUCUUCCGGUUGCUGUCAGCGCCAGGGCAGAGAACAGGCAGAGAACCAGCGCUGUGGGCCCCGCAGGGCAGGGACUCAGGCCGCGGAGGGUGGAAUGUUUGUCCGGGGGGGGUGGACUCCGUGGUCCCGCUCACGUGACUGGCAGUGGCUGCGGGCUUUCUGUGGGCUGAGCUGGUCGCUUUCCACAGCACCUCCACGGGGCUUGUCCACGAGGGCGGAGUCCGGCAUCCUUACCUGUGGGAGCAGGGUUCCAGGACAAGCAUCCUAAAAAGAUCCAGAGGAGGCCCGGGGAUUUAGUUCAGCAGUUUCGCCGCCUACUGCGCCAAGCCCAAGGACCCGAGUUUCGAUCCCUGGUACCAAAAAAACCCCAAGACAAACAAAAAAAGAACCAGAGGAAGCUUCACCACCAUUCUGGCUUAUUUUCAGGCAUCACACAGCAUCAUUCCCCCUCUAGUGACAAGCCCACUUGAAUGGAGGACAGUAGACCCCUCAUCUUAAUGGAUAAGUUGGAGUCAGGGUCAUACUGUAAGAAGUGUAUGGAAGAUAGAUGGUACAGUUGCAGCCAUUCUGUGACAUACAUCCUGCCUCAGGUGACAAGUGACUAGGCCCCGGAUAGGACAUUCAGUCUUAUCCAGCCUUACUACAGGUUUUCUAAAGUGUAUCAGGGAUCAGUAAAACUGGACAGAUGGACCUCAGAUUCGGAGCUGGGUCAGAAAUAUCCUUCUUGCAAAAACACCACAUCAGCCCAUGUGGCAGAACAGCAUCCUGGUGACAAAUGAAGCCAGAUGGGUGCCAUAUCCUGGCCAUGAUGUGUUUCAGAUUUUGUAAGAUGAGAUCACUGUAAAGGGCACAUGAGGUCAGUGUUAUUUUUUAUGAAUCUGCAAUUAUUUGUCUAAAAUUUUCAAUUAGAAAAACGUGACGCCUUAAGCCACCUGGAUCCACAUCUGCUGCUUGUCCCAGUGUCCCUGGAAAACUCCAGGGGCCCGAAGCGUGGGCACUGCUGUGAUGUCAGCAGACAACGCAGCAGACGUUGGCGUGAGUGGACAUCCAGGUCACAGGAGGCCCCAUAGGCACCAUGGACCUCGGCCUGUCUGCAGAGCCCCUCCGUGCAGGUGCUAGCAUGGAGCAUUGGGCAACACAGCUGUGGUAGACAGGAGCACGUGUGUGCUCAGCUGAGGCAGCAGCUGCCCUGCCAGCGGUCAGUCCUUGCUUCCGGCCUCCGCCUGUGCAGAGGGAUGGGUCAUGUGCCAGGACUGAAGUGCGCAGGAGGGUGCUGGCUGCUUCACAGUGGCCCCUUUCCUCUCUGGGAGGGACAUGAGGGCCUGUGCCCGUUUCUCAGAAGAGACACUGAGGCCGGAAGUCAAGCUGGCACCACUCUUUGUAUUCACAGACGGGGGCACUGAGCCACAGCUCACCUCAGAAGCAGCUGGACCAGAAGAUGAACUUGGGCUGUUCGGCGCCUGCCGUGUAAAGAAUGACCAGAAUGGCCCCACCUGCACCUGUACCCCAGGACUCUCGGGAGACGGCGGGAGGUGAGCAAGCCAAGCGGGCACAGCUCCUGGAGGCCACAGAUGCUGAACACAAGUCCUGGGCUGCAGAGACAAGGACGUGGCCGGCAGAGGCCGAGGGGAUGCAGCUCUGUGUUCUCCGAACAGGGGUGCUAUGAGCCUUGGGAAGGCAUCACCGCCUCUGUUCCAGCAGGCACCUCCAGAAACCCGUCCAUCCAGACAGGGACUGCGUGGCGGGGAGCUCAUCCCUCCCACACUCCGAGCCCAGCCCAGAAACUGGGUGAGCAGGGAGCUUGCACUGUGCACCCAGGACUGAGUUUGUUUUGUGUGUGGGACACACCUGGCACACCCAAGCCCGAAGGUGGCCUCCCACUCACCAGCCAGGAGCCCCAGUGGCCAGCGUGCUGGGGAACAGAGCCAAAGUCAGGCGGCCUUUCUCCGGGGGUUCUGUGACCCGGCCGGCCAAUGGGAACAAUACCUGGGAGGAAAAGAAAACCGGGAAGCACCCAGAAGCCACCUACAUGCCUGAUAAAUGAUGGCAGGGCGGGGCAGCCUCACGUGAUCUGGGAGACUGCAGGAGCAGGGUCAUCCCACGCUGAAAGUGACAGAGCAACACACAGACCACCCACUCUGCGCAAGUGGGGCGGCUUCAAGUCUGGAAGGCUGUCGCAUCCCGAGUCCCGGGUCCCAAGGAGGCGGCUCUGGCAACGUCACUUCCAUCUCUGUGCAUUUCCUGCAAUGCGCAUGCUGCACUGUGAUCAGAGGAGCGCGUUCUGCCUUGGUGCCUGGCGGUCAGGGCCCUAUGACAACGGUGUCCCCAAAGGACAGGCCGCUGCACUGUUUUUGGAUCCAGCAGAUCCAAGACCUGUGGCCCCACCUGGGGCCCCCCCCGGAAGCCAACAUUCACUCCACAAGCCUGUUUUGGCACCAUCUGGAAUCCUCAG